GGCUGCCCACUGAUUUGUUUUAAAGGGCCGCGGUAUAUUGACCGUGCGAAGGUAGCAUAAUCAUUAGUCUUUUAAUUGAAGGCUUGUAUGAAUGGUUGGACAAAAAGUAAGCUGUCUCGAUUAUAAUAAUUGAANUUAACUUUUGAGUGAAAAGGCUUAAAUGGUUCAGGGGGACGAUAAGACCCUAUAAAGCUUGACAAUAACUUCGUUAAAUUAUAAAUUGUUAGUAUAACUUGAUUUUAACUGGGGUUUGUUUCGUUGGGGCGACGAGAAUAUAAUAAAAUAACUGUUCUUUUAAAUAUAAUUACAAAAAUGCUUGGUGGAUAAUUGAUCCUUUAAUAAAGAUUAAAAGAUUAAGUUACUUUAGGGAUAACAGCGUAAUCUUCUUUGAGAGUCCAUAUCGACAAGAAGGUUUGCGACCUCGAUGUUGAAUUAAGGUAUCCUUAUAAUGCAGCAGUUAUAAAGG
rnacentral:rRNA from 1 species